UCGCCUGCAUGAAGUCGGAAUUGCUAGUAAUCGUGGAUCAGCAUGCCACGGUGAAUACGUUCCCGGGCCUUGUACACACCGCCCGUCAAACCAUGAGAGUUGGCAACACCCGAAGCCUGUAGCUUAACCGCAAGGAUGGCGCAGUCGAAGGUGGGGUCGAUGAUUAGGGUUAAGUCGUAACAAGGUAAC
rnacentral:rRNA from 1 species